UACAGAGGGUACAAGCGUUAUUCGGAAUUAUUGGGUGUAAAGGGCGUGUAGGCGGUUUUAUAAGUCUAAUGUGAAAUACCGAGGCUCAACCUCGGUGCUGUGUUGGAUACUGUAAGACUUGAGAAUGGAAGGGGUAAGUGGAAUUUCUAGUGUAGAGGUAAAAUUCAUGGAUAUUAGAAGGAACUCCAAAGGCGAAGGCAACUUACUGGGACAUUUCUGACGCUGAGGCGCGAAAGUGUGGGGAUCAAAC
rnacentral:rRNA from 1 species